AUUGAACGCUGGCGGCAGGCUUAACACAUGCAAGUCGAGCGAGCGGCGGACGGGUGAGUACUGUCUGGGAAACUGCCUGAUGGAGGGGGAUAACUACUGGAAACGGUAGCUAAUACCGCAUACCAUCAGUUGUGCCUAGAUGGGAUUCGCUAGUAGGUGGGGUAAUGGCUCACAUGGGCGACGAUCCCUCGCGGGUCUGAGAGGGUGACCGGCCACACUGGAACGAAGACACGGUCCGGACUCCUACGGAGGGCAGCAGUGGGGAAUAUUGCACAGUGGGAGCAGGCCUGAUGCAGCCAUGCCGCGUGUGUGAAGAAGGCCUUCGGGUUGUAAGACUCUUUCAGCGAGGAGGCGGUACUCGCAGAAUAAGCACCGGCUAACUCCGUGCCAGCAGCCGCGGUAAUAC
rnacentral:rRNA from 1 species